rfam:Lachnospiraceae bacterium COE1 genomic scaffold acPFN-supercont1.3, whole genome shotgun sequence.
AUAAUGAUACUCCCGCGUUGAACGCUUCACAGCAUUGCGCGGCGCACCCACAGGCAUGGGACGGGGUGAGAUUCCCGUGG